rnacentral:rRNA from 1 species
CUCCUGGAAACGGGUGGUAAUGCCGGAUGCUCCAGAUGACCGCAUGGGAUUCUGGGAAAGCUUUUGCGGCAUGGGAUGGGGUCGCGUCCUAUCAGCUUGUUGGUGGGGUGAUGGCCCACCAAGGCUUCGACGGGUAGCCGGCCUGAGAGGGCGACCGGCCACAUUGGGACUGAGAUACGGCCCAGACUCCUACGGGAGGCAGCAGUGGGGAAUAUUGCACAAUGGGCGCAAGCCUGAUGCAGCGACGCCGCGUGCGGGAUGACGGCCUUCGGGUUGUAAACCGCUUUUGACUGGGAGCAAGCCCUUCGGGGUGAGUGUACCUUUCGAAUAAGCACCGGCUAACUACGUGCCAGCAGCCGCGGUAAUACGUAGGGUGCAAGCGUUAUCCGGAAUUAUUGGGCGUAAAGGGCUCGUAGGCGGUUCGUCGCGUCCGGUGUGAAAGUCCAUCGCUUAACGGUGGAUCUGCGCCGGGUACGGGCGGGCUGGAGUGCGGCAGGGGAGACUGGAAUUCCCGGUGUAACGGUGGAAUGUGUAGAUAUCGGGAAGAACACC